rnacentral:rRNA from 1 species
UACAGAGGUCUCAAGCGUUGUUCGGAUUCAUUGGGCGUAAAGGGUGCGUAGGUGGCGCUGUAAGUUGGGUGUGAAAUUUCGGAGCUUAACUCCGAAACUGCAUUCGAUACUGCGGUGCUUGAGGACUGGAGAGGAGACUGGAAUUUAUGGUGUAGCAGUGAAAUGCGUAGAGAUCAUAAGGAAGACCAGUGGCGAAGGCGGGUCUCUGGACAGUUCCUGACACUGAGGCACGAAGGCCAGGGGAGCAAACGGG